GAGACACAAUCCGCAGCCCCUGGGUCUGUGCAGUGACCGGCCAGUUCUCUGAGAACUUCCCCCUCCAGCACCCGGGAAAAUGGGAUUUUUGCUCCUUGUAAUUUUCGCUGUAGCAGCUUUGGAAGGUGUCCGGUCCCAGGUGCAGCUGGUGGAGUCCGGAGGGGAUGUGAAAAAGCCCGGAGACUCUCUCCGCCUCUCCUGCAAAGCCUCCGGGUUCGACUUCAGCAGCUCCAGGAUGGACUGGGUCCGACAGGCUCCUGGCAAGGGGCUAGAAUGGGUCGCUUUUAUAAGGUACGAUGGAGGUAAUAUUCAGUACCGUGAUUCCGUCAAAGGCCGAUUCACCAUCUCCAGGGAUGAUCCCAAGAGUGAGCUGUAUCUGCAAAUGACCGGCCUGAAGCCCGAGGACACCGCCCGCUAUUACUGUGCGAGACGCCAGAAACAGACGCACAGUGAGGGAAAACCUAUCCGAGCCCGGCCUAAAACUAACGGUGCAGAGAACCAGCCCUCCCGUGUGAGCCGCAGAGAGCAGCAGCAGCUCCGCGAGAAAGUCCGCGGCGUUGCCUGACCAGGACAUUUAUUCAGAACAAACACUCAGAAAGGGAGGGUU